UACAGAGGGGGCAAGCGUUAUUCGGAAUUAUUGGGCGUAAAGGGCGCGUAGGCGGCUUGGCAAGUGGAUGGUGAAAUCCCUCGGCUUAACCGAGGAACUGCCAUCCAGACUGCUUUGCUUGAGGCCGGGAGAGGUAAGUGGAAUUCCCAGUGUAGCGGUGAAAUGCGUAGAUAUUGGGAGGAACACCAGUGGCGAAGGCGGCUUACUGGACCGGUUCUGACGCUGAGACGCGAAAGCGUGGGGAGCGAACAGG
rnacentral:rRNA from 1 species